rnacentral:rRNA from 1 species
GAUGAACGCUGGCGGCGUGCCUAAUACAUGCAAGUCGAGCGAACGGACGAGGAGCUUGCUUCUCUGAUGUUAGCGGCGGACGGGUGAGUAACACGUGGAUAACCUACCUAUAAGACUGGGAUAACUUCGGGAAACCGUAGCUAAUACCGGAUAAUAUUUUGAACCGCAUGGUUCAAAAGUGAAAGACGGUCUUGCUGUCACUUAUAGAUGGAUCCGCGCUGCAUUAGCUAGUUGGUAAGGUAACGGCUUACCAAGGCAACGAUGCAUAGCCGACCUGAGAGGGUGAUCGGCCACACUGGAACUGAGACACGGUCCAGACUCCUACGGGAGGCAGCAGUAGGGAAUCUUCCGCAAUGGGCGAAAGCCUGACGGAGCAACGCCGCGUGUGUGAUGAAGGUCUUCGGAUCGUAAAACUCUGUUAUUAGGGAAGAACAUAUGUGUAAGUAACUGUGCACAUCUUGACGGUACCUAAUCAGAAAGCCACGGCUAACUACGUG